rnacentral:rRNA from 1 species
UACGAAGGGGGGCUAGCGUUGCUCGGAAUUACUGGGCGUAAAGGGCGCGUAGGCGGUUCUAUAAGUCAGGCGUGAAAUUCCUGGGCUUAACCUGGGGGCUGCGCUUGAGACUGUGGGACUUGAGGUCAGAAGAGGGUCGUGGAAUUCCCAGUGUAGAGGUGAAAUUCGUAGAUAUUGGGAAGAACACCUGUGGCGAAGGCGGCUCUCUGGGGACGGUACUGACGCUGAGACGCGAAAGCGUGGGGGAGCAAACAGG